GCUGCGGGGCAGCUACGGGGCACCAAGUUCCAGGGAUGGCUGAGGGCAAAGGAUUGCCACUGCCAGAGGUGGCGCUGUGUCACACCGAGAGAAGCAGCGCGACACGUCUGUCCUGAAGGAGUUCUACUUGCUUGAAUGUGGGGAUCAGAGCACUUCCCCUCGUCUUUCCAUGUUGGCCACUUCACCGUUGCUCAGGUUUCUGACCUAUCCAUUGCGCUGCAAGCUGCAGAGUCUGAAUGGUUCCAUCCCUCGGCUGUACUGAAAGCAUCAGGGAGCAAUGCUUUGAGCAGGACACAGCCUCAUCAGGAACAGUUGCUGCUGUGGUAGUGCACGAAAUCACUGCAACAGAAGUGGCGGCGCUUCAAAGUGGUGUGGCUGCAGGUAUAUUGCAACUUGAUUUGGCACUCUUACCUAUUAGCCAAAUACACAGAGAUAAAGUGGCCGGUCCCGGUUUGUGGAUCACAGCGAAUGUGGGAGAGGUGGGGAUGUGUGUGUAAGGAUGAGGAGGUCAGUGCCCAGAGCCAGCAGGACAGAUGUGCUAUCGGUGCUCUGUCCUGCAAGCUCUUAUAACAGCCCUGCCAGCCGGGAGGUCGCAAUCAAAGUAUCUUUGUGUUAAUCCCUACAUUGUUACCACCUGGGCUGACAUAAUGAACUAAAAAGAAGCAAACCUUCCAUUUUCAAAGAUAGCUGGCUAUGGGAAUCACCAAAUGCUGAAUGAAUUUCAAAGGAGUAUUCAUUCCUUUUAAGUAGAAUUGUUUUGUUUUGAGCAACCUCGGCCCUGGUGUUAUUUGAAUAAAUAAACAACUGCACGCUGUUCUCGGGGUGCAGGCAUGGAGCGCGCUGUUAGCAGUGCCCUGCAUAUUGCACUUGGCUGCAGAGGGCUGUGCAAAAAAAAAUUGCAGAAAUAUUUGCAAGAUAAGCCAAAAACACUGUCCCGAAUUCCGUGGGGUUCAUCCUCUCUUUUUAGCCUAGGAAGUAAAUUUUUUCUCUGUCUUCUGAGAUCCUGGCAGCUCGAAGCCCCUGCAGCUGUGUAGCACAGUUUUGCCUCCUUGAAGAAGGAAGAGCAGUGCGAGAGAAGCGGAGCUGCCAACCCAGCGCCCUGCAGCUGCCCCUUUCUCUUUACAGCAUGAAUUAUACAACCAUGUGCUCCGAGGAUCUCUCAGUCUCCUGACCUUCUGCUGGAGCUCUGUGCACGCCUAAGCAACACAGCUCAGCCUUGUGCCCAGGAAGCAGCCUGUGCUGGUGAGUGGUGGUGAGAGCCUCACCUCCUGGUUUGGAGUCUGCCAGGUUGGGGCUGUGGAGGUAUGGUUUGUCUGUGUCCAGCCUGGGGUGUCGUUGGCUUAAUAGUGGGGAUGUCGGGGAAGCUGUGUCCCCUUGGCCAUGUGGUGCCAAAGGUGGUAGAUCCAAAUGUUAGUGACCACAAAAACAGAAUAUCCUGAGUUGGAAGGGACCUACAGUGGUCAUUGAGUCUAACCCCUGGCUCCACAAAGGACUGCCCAAAAUGCAAACCGUGGAGCAUUGUCCAAAUGCCGUUCAUCAGCUAUACAACAGGACACAGCCGUCCUCCAACCUACAAAAAGCAUGUGCCUUGCCUGUUAAGUUCCAGUGUUAUCGUUUCUGAUUUUUACAUUUUUUCUCCUUUGGGAAGCAUACGAAAGAGUGUAAAGAUUUUGUGUUUGCACAGAACCCAAAAAAGCCCCCUCCCAAACGUGGUGUCCUCACCCAAGGUCAGACAUCCCUGUGCAGGGCUGUGCUCCUGUGGCACCUUGUUGGGGUGGGGGGGACACAGGUGCACCCUGUGGGGGCAGGGAGCUGAGUGCAGCUCCAUAGCCCUGCACACCCCUCGGGCCACCCCUCGGACCCUUCCCCGGCCUGUGGCCCACACCAGGAAUCAGAGGGGUUUGGGAUCUCCUGGAGAUCCCAGCUGCCCACUCCUGGCACUUUGCAGGGGCUGCCCAUGGGGCAGCAGGGAGGGGAGAAGGCUGUGCAGUGUCUUGGUUCUCAUGGGACAUAUUGCAGGGUGGUGGUGUCCCUCCAAGCAGGGCCCUGCUGUUCUCCAGCCCCCGGCAGACAGCCCCUGGCGUGUCCAGCAGCCGGCAUGGUUUAUCUCCUUGGAUAAACAAAGGGCUGCUGGAAUUUGAAACUUGUUCCCGGUUGAGGGUCCAAAGCCCGCUGCAGUCCCUGCAUGGCUGCCUGGUCUGUGCCUCUGUGUUGAGUUUACACAUCUGAAAUGCAGCAAGCAAUAGUGCAGCUCCUAAUGGUGUCGGGCUGUGGCUGGGCCGUGUGGGCACAGGUGUUGGGGUACACCCAGGUUCUGAUGUAC
ensembl:lncRNA